UCUUCGGCAAUGGGCGCAAGCCUGACCGAGCGACGCCGCGUGCGGGAUGAAGGCCUUCGGGUUGUAAACCGCUGUCGUAGAGGAGGAAAUGCAGGGGGGUUCUCCCUUCUGUUUGACCUAUUCUAGGAGGAAGUACGGGCUAAGUUCGUGCCAGCAGCCGCGGUAAGACGAACCGUACAAACGUUACUCGGAAUUACUGGGCUUAAAGGGUGCGUAGGCUGCGCGGAAAGUUGGGUGUGAAAGCCCUCGGCUCAACCGAGGAAUUGCACUCAAAACUACCGUGCUUGAGGGAGACAGAGGUAAGCGGAACUCAAGGUGGAGCGGUGAAAUGCGUUGAUAUCUUGAGGAACACCGGUGGCGAAGGCGGCUUACUGGGUCUUUUCUGACGCUGAGGCACGAAAGCUAAGGUAGCAAACGGGAUUAGAUACCCCGGUAGUCUUAGCUGUAAACGAUGAGCACUUGAUUGGAGGGUCCUCCAUAGCCUUCCAGUCGUAGCGAAAGUGUUAAGUGCUCCGCCUGGGGA
rnacentral:rRNA from 1 species